UCUAUACUGAGGCAGGGCAACAAAAUCAAAAAUAUGCAAGUGGGACUACAGCAAACUAAAAAUGCUUCUGCAUAGCAAAAGAAACUAUCAACAAAG